AAGUAUCUAUUACAGAUGAACUGAGGCAUGAUUGAGUGGAAGGGAAAGGGGCACAUGGGUGGCACAUGCCAUCUACACGAUUUGGCUCCACCCAUGCCCUAAAAUGCCACUUGGCACUCAUGCACAAGAUGGCUCUUAGUCUUCCCAAAGCUUGUAAUCGUGAGGGAUCUUGGAGAUAAGCAUCUGAACAAUAAGCAGAAGAGAGAAUCUCAGAAUUUGCACAAAGGGGAGAAAGGGGUGCUCGGCCACCACAAGAAGAUGCCACCUGGCAUCCAUGCGUGUGUAUGUCCCUUGGGAUUUCAAGAAGGAUCUAAUGAUGGAGACUUAGAGGUUUCGGCUAUGCCGCUUGGCAAACAUGCAGAAGGCUUUUCUGGGAAUUUUGAGGAAACUAAUAAUGAGGGAAAGGGGACUGAACUUCGGUGGAUGUAAGAAGGCGCCACAUGGAUCCAUGCAUGAGGUUGAUCAGUGAUAUUUUUGUCACCAGAAGAACAAUCAAUCAAAGGAAAGAGAGGCAUGGGGAAAUGAAGGGAUAUUUAAACCUAGCUUUAAGGGGCCAACAGGUCACACUCAAAAGGAAGCUGAAAAGUCAUUUUGUCCCUUCAUCAAACUUUUCUCUCAUUCUCUCCUCUCUCUUUCUUGCCCAACCCUAGAAGCCAACACCAUUUUUCCUUCUUUCCAAACAACUCUCUCAUACAAUCAAGUGAGGGAUUAAAGGAGCAUCUCGUGGGGCCUAGCACGAUGGUAUCAGAGCCAACUUCCGUUUUUAUGGAUCAACCACCAGGAUAUGAAGGCAAAAAAGGCAAGGGGAAGGUGUGCAGAUUGAGGAAGUCUUUGUAUGGACUCAAGCAAUCUCCCAGAGCUUGGUUUGAACGCUUUGGGAAGGUGUUAAAGAGCCACGGCUACUGCCAAGGUCAAGCUGACCACAUUAUGUUCUAUAGACACACUAGUGGAGGCAAAGUACUAUACUUAUUGUCUAUGUUGAUGAUUUUAUUCUGACAGGGGAUGACAGCAAUGAAAUUGAGAGAUUAAAGAAGAUUCUUGCUAAGGAGUUUGAAAUGAAAGGUAACUUGAAAUAUUUUCUUGGUAUGAAGUUUGCAAGGUCAAAGAAAGGUAUAUUUGUUUCCCAAUGAAAAUAUGUUCUUGAUUUACUUGGAGAAAUAGACUUAUUAGGGUGUAAAGCUGCAGAAACACCUAUAGAGCCGAAUCUAAGACUUCAACCAGCUAAACCUAAAGAAAUAAUCAAUAGAGAACAAUACCAAAGAUUGGUAGGGAAACUCCUAUCUCUCUCUCAAACACGGCCUGGCAUAGCCUUUGCAACAAGUGUGGUAAGCCAGUUUAUGCACUCACCAGGACCUGAACAUUUUGAUAUUGUAUACGUGUUUGACAUAGCCUUGGCAACAAGUGUGGUAAGCCAGUUUAUGCACUCACCAGGACCCGAACAUUUUGAUGUUGUAUACAAAAUCCUAAGGUACCUAAAGGGGGCUUCAGGUAAAGGCUUAUUGUUUGGAGGCCAUGGGAGUUUACAAGUAGAAUAUACACUGAUGCAAAUUGGGCUGGAAGUGUCACUGAUAGGAGAGAUCAACUUCUGGCUAUUGCACAUUUGUUGGAUGAAAGUUAGUAACAUGGCGCACCAAGAAACAGAAUGUGGUGGCAAGAAGUAGUGCAAAGGCUGAGUUUAGGGCUGUUGCUCAUGGAAUUUGUGAAGCACUGUGGAUUAAAAGAUUGCUGGAAGAGUUGAAAAUUACUAGUACACCAAUGAAAUUGUAUUGUGAUAAUAAAGCUGCAAUAGUUAUUGCUCACAAUCCAGUUCUUCAUGACAAAACAAAACAUGUGGAGGUGGACAAGUAUUUUAUCAAGGAGAAAAUAGGUAGUGGGGUAAUUUGCCCUAUAUUUCUACAGCUGAGCAAGUAGCAGACAUACUUACAAAGGGACUGCCGAAGAAACAGUUUGAAAACUUAAAUCAGCAAGCUGGCUAUGGAAGACAUCUUCAAACCAGCUUGAGGGGGAGUGUUGGAAAGUUUCCAAAAUCUGCCUAGUCAACUCUUCCAUAUUCUAGGAUAUAUUGGCUGUAAAUGUGUGAAUAUUCUAGGAGAGUUAGUUUCCUUAGAAGUUAGCAUUUAAUUUUUAUUCUUUCCUAAUUUAUUCUUUCCUUUUUUUUCUGCUGGAAUCUAUUUAUACUGCCUUGUACCUAUGUUACGAAUUAAUGAGAAUUAUUCCUACAAAUUAUUCUCUCA